ensembl:lncRNA
GUGGUAGUUCACAUAUAUGAGAGAUGUGAUCAGGGUGGUGCCACUGGAUUCAUGCCCGUGUUCUUGCUGUUUUUUUUAUUGUGUAACCCAAGUCAUGACAGCACAGUAAAGAAUGCAGGGACACAGAGAUAUCACUUCAAACACAACUUCUCUCAGGAGCCUCAGAUCCUUUCAGUGGAACUGAAUGAAGAUAUGCUUUGAUGGCCCACCACAGAGUCGGUGGCUUUCAAAGAAACCUGUUGAUGGGACUGCACAGUGCACCCAGCCAGCUGAAUGAGUGGCACUGUAUUUGUGCCUCUCAGGAUACUCCUGGGUGUUCUCAUUGGAGGUCAGAUCUGCUUGACCUCAAGUAGUCAUUUUCUGUGGAUUUUUUGGCUUGGCUUAUCUUUUUUUUUCUUCCCUUCCAUCUUGUUCUCUCACCAAAUGGAGGAGAACUGUGUAUGGAUGGCAGGGUGCCAGCAGACAGGUACAGUAGAUGUGCUGAUGAGGGAUGGUGAUAGGGGCAGGCCUCAGUUGCAGCCUUGGGCAGAGAGAGACAUACACAGGCAGGCGUAGACUCAGAGGCAGGUUGAAACCUGGUGCUGUAUGCUGAUGUUUCUCUGCUUGGCUGUGCUCCAAGGUGAGGCAUGUGAGAGAAACGUGGGAAGGGAAAAUCCAGAAUGGAGGCCAGAAGAGAUGCACAAACUCCUGAUUUUCAAAGCUAAAACCACAAUUAAAAAAAAGAAGGGUAGCUAAGAAUAUCUAGUGGUAACAAAAAGUGGGAGAGGGAAUAAGCGCAUGAAGAAAGAGUACAAGAAUGAGGCUAUACUGUACGCUGAUGGAACGUGACUACUCACAGGAUCAUACUAAAUCCCGGUUUGGACUGUUGGACCAGCAUCCUCUGAAGCAGAUGUUUGCUCCUGGCACGGCUGCCGACAACAUGAGCUCCAACACUGGCAAUCUAGCUCUCAGGAUUCAGUGAGCAGCGUGAGCUUGGAGAAGCUAUGACAUAAACGCAGCAGGACGGUGAAUCGCGUUUUGCUGCUCAGACAUCAUGGAACAGAUCAGUCAGCCCCAUCUGGAGAAGUGCUCUAUAGAAGAGUCAUAUAUUUGCCAUAGUUACUUUGAUGGAUACAGCAUAUUGUUUGACUUUAUUUUUCUAAUUGAUUUUAAUAGAAAUGAUCAUUUCCCUCCAUCUAUGUAUCUUCUCUUGUUUUUCAGAUUUUAAUUACAGUGUCGCUCAUUCAGUAACUUCAGCAUUUACUGUGUGAUUUUUGUCAUUUUUGUUCAUGUGACUGUUUUCAAAGUGGCUCUUAUAAAACUGCAGAAGAAAGUUUAUCCAGGGAGGAGCACAAAAAAUGUCUCCUACUGUGUAAAAAGACUUAAUGCACAUGUGAUUGAGAUUGAUCAGAGGAAUCACUCAGUCAGUGGAUCUGUGAUUUUCAUCUUCUUACUGCAGCGACAAAGAAGCCAUUGUCAUUAAUGUAAAACCAUGAUUUCUCCUUCUGACGCUGCAUUUUAUUGUGACACAUUGGCAGCUUCUGCUAAUUUCAGUUAAUAAUCCUUUUAAGCAGUUUAUUCUCAUUAUGAUUUAUGACUCCAUAGCUUUUGUUGUUUUUGUUAAGCCCUGUUAGCAGAAAUUAAAAGGUGUAUCCA